AACGAACGCUGGCGGCAGGCUUAACACAUGCAAGUCGAGCGCCCCGCAAGGGGAGCGGCAGACGGGUGAGUAACGCGUGGGAAUCUACCCAUCUCUACGGAAUAACGCAUGGAAACGUGUGCUAAUACCGUAUACGUCCUUCGGGAGAAAGAUUUAUCGGAGAUGGAUGAGCCCGCGUUGGAUUAGCUAGUUGGUGGGGUAAAGGCCUACCAAGGCGACGAUCCAUAGCUGGUCUGAGAGGAUGACCAGCCACACUGGGGCAGAGACACGGCCCAGACUCCUACGGGAGGCAGCAGUGGGGAAGAUUGGACAAUGGGCGCAAGCCUGAUCCAGCCAUGCCGCGUGAGUGAUGAAGGCCCUAGGGUUGUAAAGCUCUUUCACCGGUGAAGAUAAUGACGGUAACCGGAGAAGAAGCCCCGGCUAACUUCGUGCCAGCAGCCGCCGUAAUAC
rnacentral:rRNA from 1 species